GAUGAAGAACGCAGCGAAAUGCGAUACGUAAUGUGAAUUGCAGAAUUCAGUGAAUCAUCGAAUCUUUGAACGCAUAUUGCGCUCUCUGGUAUUCCGGAGAGCAUGCUUGUUUGAGUAUCAGUAAACACCUCAACUCUUUUUUCUUUUUUGAAAUUGGAGCUGGACUUGAGUGAUCCCAACGCUUUCUUCCAAGAAAGUGGCGGGUUGCUUGAAAUGUAGGUGCAGCUGAACUUUUCUCUGAGCUAUAAGCAUAUCUAUUUAGUCUGCCUAAAAAACAGAUUAUUACCUUUGCUGCAGCUAACAUAAAGGAGACUAGUUCUUGUGCUGACUGAUGCAGGAUUCACAGAGACAGCUUCGGCUGACUUUGUAAACUCGAUCUCAAAUCAAGUAAGACUACCCGCUGAACUUAAGCAUAUCAAUAAGCGGAGGA
rnacentral:misc_RNA from 1 species